rnacentral:rRNA from 1 species
AUUGAACGCUGGCGGAAUGCUUUACACAUGCAAGUCGAACGGCAGCACGGGGGCAGCCCUGGUGGCGAGUGGCGAACGGGUGAGUAAUACAUCGGAACGUGCCCGGUCGUGGGGGAUAACGUAGCGAAAGUUACGCUAAUACCGCAUACGAUCUGAGGAUGAAAGCGGGGGACCUUCGGGCCUCGCGCGAUCGGAGCGGCCGAUGUCAGAUUAGGUAGUUGGUGGGGUAAAGGCCUACCAAGCCGACGAUCUGUAGCUGGUCUGAGAGGACGACCAGCCACACUGGGACUGAGACACGGCCCAGACUCCUACGGGAGGCAGCAGUGGGGAAUUUUGGACAAUGGGCGCAAGCCUGAUCCAGCCAUUCCGCGUGCAGGACGAAGGCCUUCGGGUUGUAAACUGCUUUUGUACGGAACGAAAAGGCUCUGGCUAAUACCUGGGGCUCAUGACGGUACCGUAAGAAUAAGCACCGGCCAACUACGUG